AGUGAACGCUGGCGGUAGGCCUAACACAUGCAAGUCGAACGGCAGCACAGUAAGAGCUUGCUCUUACGGGUGGCGAGUGGCGGACGGGUGAGGAAUACAUCGGAAUCUACUUUUUCGUGGGGGAUAACGUAGGGAAACUUACGCUAAUACCGCAUACGACCUACGGGUGAAAGCAGGGGAUCUUCGGACCUUGCGCGAUUGAAUGAGCCGAUGUCGGAUUAGCUAGUUGGCGGGGUAAAGGCCCACCAAGGCGACGAUCCGUAGCUGGUCUGAGAGGAUGAUCAGCCACACUGGAACUGAGACACGGUCCAGACUCCUACGGGAGGCAGCAGUGGGGAAUAUUGGACAGUGGGCGCAAGCCUGAUCCAGCCAUACCGCGUGGGUGAAGAAGGCCUUCGGGUUGUAAAGCCCUUUUGUUGGGAAAGAAAAGCAGCAGAUUAAUACCCCGCUGUUCUGACGGUACCCAAAGAAUAAGCACCGGCUAACUUCGUG
rnacentral:rRNA from 1 species